rnacentral:rRNA from 1 species
UACGGGGGGGGCAAGCGUUGUUCGGAAUUACUGGGCGUAAAGGGCUCGUAGGUGGCCAACUAAGUCAGACGUGAAAUCCCUCGGCUUAACCGGGGAACUGCGUCUGAUACUGGAUGGCUUGAGUUUGGGAGAGGGACGCGGAAUUCCAGGUGUAGCGGUGAAAUGCGUAGAUAUCUGGAGGAACACCGGUGACGAAGGCGGCGUCCUGGACCAAUACUGACACUGAUGAGCGAAAGCCAGGGGAGCAAACGGG